rnacentral:rRNA from 1 species
AGUCGAGGGGCAGCAUAAAAGUAGCAAUACUUUGGUGGCGACCGGCGCACGGGUGAGUAACGCGUAUGCAACCUACCUAUCAGAGGGGAAUAACCCGGCGAAAGUCGGACUAAUACCGCAUAAAACAGGGACACCGCAUGGUGAUAUUUGUUAAAGAAAUUCGCUGAUAGAUGGGCAUGCGUUCCAUUAGGUAGUUGGUGAGGUAACGGCUCACCAAGCCGACGAUGGAUAGGGGAACUGAGAGGUUGGUCCCCCACACUGGUACUGAGACACGGACCAGACUCCUACGGGAGGCAGCAGUGAGGAAUAUUGGUCAAUGGGCGAGAGCCUGAACCAGCCAAGUCGCGUGAAGGAAGAAGGAUCUAUGGUUCGUAAACUUCUUUUGCAGGGGAAUAAAGUGCGGGACGUGUCCUGUUUUGUAUGUACCCUGAGAAUAAGGAUCGGCUAACUCCGUGCCAGCAGCCGCGGUAAUACGGAGGAUCCGAGCGUUAUCCGGAUUUAUUGGGUUUAAAGGGUGCGUAGGUGGUUUGAUAAGUCAGCGGUGAAAGUUUGCAGCUUAACUGUAAAAAUGCCGUUGAAACUGUCGGACUUGAGUGUAAAUGAGGUAGGCGGAAUGCGUGGUGUAGCGGUGAAAUGCUUAGAUAUCACGCAGAACUCCGAUUGCGAAGGCAGCUUACUAAGCUACAACUGACACUGAAGCACGAAAGCGUGGGGAUCAAACAGGAUUAGAUACCCUGGUAGUCCACGCAGUAAACGAUGAUUACUAGCUGUUUGCGAUACACAGUAAGCGGCACAGCGAAAGCGUUUAGUAAUCCACCUGGGGAGUACGCCGGCCACGGUGAAACUCAAAGGGAAUGGACGGGGGCCCCCCACAAGCGGAGGAACAUGUGGUUUUAAUUCGAUGAUACGCGAGGAAACUUACCCGGGGUU